rnacentral:rRNA from 1 species
UACGUAGGGUGCAAGCGUUGUCCGGAAUUAUUGGGCGUAAAGAGCUCGUAGGCGGUCUGUCGCGUCGGCUGUGAAAUCCCGAGGCUCAACCUCGGGUCUGCAGUCGAUACGGGCAAACUAGAGUAUUGCAGGGGAGACUGGAAUUCCUGGUGUAGCGGUGAAAUGCGCAGAUAUCAGGAGGAACACCGAGUGGCAAGGCGGUCUCUGGGCAUUAACUGACGCUGAGGAGCGAAAGCAUGGGGGAGCGAACAGG